AUGAAGAAGGGCAUAGUAAUCGACGAAAUGCUUCGGGGAGUUGAAAAUAAGCAUAGAUCUGGAGAUUCCCAAAUAGGGCAACCUUUCGAACUGCUGCUGAAUCCAUGGGCAGUCUAGAGACAACCUGGCGAACUGAAACAUCUUAGUAGCCAGAGGAAAAGAAAGCAAAAUA
rnacentral:ncRNA from 1 species